GGGGAAUUUUCCGCAAUGGGCGAAAGCCUGACGGAGCAAGACCGCGUGAGGGAGGAAGGCCUUUGGGUUGUAAACCUCUUUUGUCAGGGAAGAAAAAAAUGACGGUACCUGACGAAUCAGCCUCGGCUAACUCCGUGCCAGCAGCCGCGGUAAUACGGAGGAGGCAAGCGUUAUCCGGAAUCAUUGGGCGUAAAGCGUCAGUAGGUGGCCAAGUAAGUCUGCUGUCAAAGACCACAGCUUAACUGUGGAAAGGCAGUGGAAACUGCAGGGCUAGAGUACGGUAGGGGUAGAGGGAAUUCCAGGUGUAGCGGUGAAAUGCGUAGAGAUCUGGAAGAACACCGGUGGCGAAAGCGCUCUACUGGGCCGUAACUGACACUGAGGGACGAAAGCUAGGGGAGCGAAAGGGAUUAGAUACCCCUGUAGUCAA
rnacentral:rRNA from 1 species